AAAUUAUUCGAGUGUUACGAACUCAGCGACAAAAUAAAUGUAACAAAAAUUCAAAUUCAAAUAAGUUUUAAUAAGUAUUCCUUAAUCAUUUAGUGAUAACAAUAUUUCUCUGAUUGCAUAUCGAAGAAAAGGUAGAGAAACAUAUACAUAUGCAUACAUACAUAUAUGCAUAUAAACGUACUUAUACACACACAUAUAUAUGUAGGGAGAGAGAGAGACAGAGAGAGAGAGAGAGAGAGAGAGAAAGAAUGAAAGAUGGAGCGAGUAAAUAAUUUCCAAUAAAUAAAUUGUGAACAAAACUUGAGAGAGAGAGAGAGAGAGAGCGAGAGAGAGAGCUCUAGAAAUGUACUUUAGUCUCUCUUUGCCUGUUUUUUUUUUUUUUUUAGUUCUCCCGUUUAAGCUCUCACUUAUACACGAAAGCCUUUUUUCUACGCAUACAUGGCGUAUUUUUCGACUGUUUUAGAUACAACUGUAUUUAACCUAAAUCUGCUCGUUUGCAGUCUUAGAUUGUGUUAAGUAAUAAUACGUAUAGGGGCGAAAUAGCCAGUCAGCUAGGCAAGCAAAGCAAGAUAGUCAGUCAUUUAGUCCGUUACGUUGUCAUUUACUAUAAAAAUAUUCUCCACUUUAUACAAUAUACUCAGAGAUUCAUAUACAUAUGCACACACUAGCACAGAUAUCUCUGUUAAGCAGCUAAUAAAUGCAACAAAAAAAAAAAAAAAAAAACAUAUUUGAUUGUAUUGGCUGCUUAUUCGUCAUAGUUGAAAAUAUUCUCAGUUCAGUUGUGUUUUUACAUUGAAACCAUCUAUAUCUAUACUACGCUACCUUAAAUUAAUUCAUUCAUAUAAUAAAAAACAUUCCCAGAAAUGUAUUAAAUCACACAGAACAAAAAUAAAAAAAGUACAUUUCGCAGAAACUAUCAAAAAAAAAAAAAAAAACAAAACAAAAA